UUUCUUUUUCUUUUUUGUUUUCCUUUUUGGUUUCUGAGAGAUUGAAAUGGUGGUGGCUUAGCACUGCUCUGUCCGGCAUCAGACAACACGCGGUUGCAGAUGUGUUCAUGGUGGAGAAGAUGAAGAUCCCUUUCCACCCAAAUAUUCAUUAAAAAAAUUUAAUAUAAAAUUCAUUAAGAUGAAGUCUUUCUUUUUUUUUCCUACUUUGCCCUUCUAUUACACAAAUAUUCAUUAAAAAAAUUUAAUAUAAAAUUCAUUUAUAAUGCCACAUAUG
rnacentral:lncRNA from 1 species